GACAUGAACCCAACAACUUCCUGUUUUCUCCAUGUAGCAAACAGGAAAUAUCGCCCGUAAUCUCUUCGAAAGGACAGGAGUGUUUCAUUGGUCAGUUUGCCCAUAUCACUAGUCUCCUUCGCAGCCAUUAUUACGGUCGUCACGCAACGCUUCAGGGGAGAAGUGUUGCGUGACGACCAAAAAAAGGCUGCGAAGGAGACUAACAUAUCACGCCCUUGUCUCGAUACCUUAUGUGAUAAACUGUGCCCCUUGACACAUUGAGAAGCGGAAAAACUCCUUGCAAGCUCAUAGCAGUGGCUCGUACUGCGGAAACAAGAUCGUGGAGGAGGGUGAGGACUGUGAUUGUGGAAGG
rnacentral:misc_RNA from 1 species